rnacentral:rRNA from 1 species
GACGUAGGAGGCGAGCGUUGUCCGGAUUUAUUGGGCGUAAAGAGCGUGUAGGCGGCCAGACAGGUCCGUUGUGAAAACUCGAGGCUCAACCUCGAGAUGUCGAUGGAAACCGUCUGGCUAGAGUCCGGAAGAGGAGUGUGGAAUUCCUGGUGUAGCGGUGAAAUGCGCAGAUAUCAGGAAGAACACCUAUGGCGAAGGCAGCACUCUGGGACGGUACUGACGCUGAGACGCGAAAGCGUGGGGAGCGAACAGG